UCACCUUCAACCCGCAGGAUCCGCCCGAAGUGUACAGCAACGCAAGCGUCCACAAUUGCCUCAAUGGGUACACCUCGAUGGCACAAGAAGUUCAUGGGCCGGAGUUUGAUGCGAUCAAUGAGCCCAUUGAUGGAGAAGUCGUCAUGAGGGCGGGAGGAGGCAAGAAGCAUGGACGGUACUGGUUUGGUGACAGCUUAGUCGACACGGCGACUACUCCCACUCUCUCGCAGAUUCGAGCCAGGAGUACCAGCUCAAGCCCUGCCAUACGCCCACGGCCAGACACUACACAGACUCAGAUUGAGGCUGUCAAGGCCCAGAUGGAAGCAGCCUUCCAAGCACGGCAGGAGGCGGCAGAGGAGAGGUGGAGGGCCGAGCGGGACGACAUCCAG